CAGGUGUAGUUCAAUGGUAGAACCUUAGCCUUCCAAGCUAAUGACGUGGGUUCGAUUCCCACUACCUG
rnacentral:tRNA from 1 species